GAGAUUUUGAUGUCGCAGAUACUGCAUCAGGAACUGAUUGGAUAAUAAUCAGCCACCAUCAGUUCCUAAUGCAUUGCCUUCAGCAUCUAAACA
rnacentral:pre_miRNA from 1 species